rnacentral:rRNA from 1 species
UACAGAGGUGGCAAGCGUUUGUUCGGAAUUACUGGGCGUAAAGGGCGCGUAGGUGGCCUUUUGAGUCAGACGUGAAAUCCCCCGGCUCAACCGGGGGAAUUGCGCUUAAAAACUACUGUGCUAGAGGAAGACAGAGGUGAGCGGAACUUCGGGUGGAGCGGUGAAAUGCGUUGAUAUCCGAAGGAACACCGGUGGCGAAAGCGGCUCACUGGGUCUUUUCUGACGCUGAUGCACGAAAGCUAGGGGAGCAAACGGG